GACGAACGCUGGCGGCGUGCUUAACACAUGCAAGUCGAACGGUAAGGCCCUUCGGGGUACACGAGCGGCGAACGGGUGAGUAACACGUGGGUGAUCUGCCCUGCACUUCGGGAUAAGCCUGGGAAACUGGGUCUAAUACCGGAUAGGACCACUGCCUGCAUGGGUGGUGGUGGAAAGCUUUUGCGGUGUGGGAUGGGCCCGCGGCCUAUCAGCUUGUUGGUGGGGUGAUGGCCUACCAAGGCGACGACGGGUAGCCGGCCUGAGAGGGUGACCGGCCACACUGGGACUGAGAUACGGCCCAGACUCCUAAGGGAGGCAGCAGUGGGGAAUAUUGCACAAUGGGCGCAAGCCUGAUGCAGCGACGCCGCGUGAGGGAUGACGGCCUUCGGGUUGUAAACCUCUUUCAGCACCGACGAAGCGCAAGUGACGGUAGGUGCAGAAGAAGGACCGGCCAACUACGUGCCAGCAGCCGCCGUAA
rnacentral:rRNA from 1 species